UAGGGCAUCAUCUCUAACAAGGGCUAGCCCUACCUUUCUGUAUUGCUCAUUAUAUCUACACCACUGAUCUUAUCUCCAAUCCUUCUCGCACUCUCUUCUUGAUUUUGGCACUUCUCUCAAUUCCCCUAUGCUUUCUCUUUUCAAAUCUACUCCUCGCAUUUUGAAUCAUCUUUCUUCUUUCUCCCUCUUCAGGUCGUUGAAUGUUUGAUUGUGAUUUUUCUUUACAAUUGAUAUCGUUUGGACCAACAACAAUGCUCAGUAUACUUGACUCUCUUAGAUUAUUUCAUUUUAGUCUGUUUGUUCAUGAUAAAAUGUAUUGAGUGUUUUGAAACCAGAUAACGAAUUACUAAUUACUCUUUAGGCCGUUGAAUGUCCUUAUUCUUUCUAACUUUACCUAAUUACUGAUUUAGAUCUUGGGUCUGGAGGCUCCUAAUUAAUAUUACUAUUGUUGUUUUCUUAAAUCGAUUGUUUUUAUGUGGAAAUAAUUCGUGUUAUUUGAAGAGAAGGGAAGGGAAGAGAAGAGAAUAGAAAUAAGCUUAUUUUCCAGCGAGCUUAUCUUAGGGCACUCUACUUUUCUACUGUUAUCAUCCUUUUUAAUGGAUUUACAAAGUUGUCAAUGUUGGUGGCCAAAUUUCCUGUAAUUUACAAGCAUAGGGAUUUGCACUUUUAGAAUGUCAUAACUUUGUUUAUGAUAUGCUUAUUCUGAUAGAAUUUCAAUCUCAAAGUUCUUAAUUGUUUCUGAUUAAUAUAGAAUGUUUAAUCUGUUUUUAGCUGAUCUUGGUGGAUGGACCCGGAUUGUUGUGGAGAAACCUUUUGGCAAGGACUUGGCAUUUGCGGAGAAGUUAAGUUCCCAGAUUGGAGAAUUUUUUUAAGUUGUGUACUAAUGCUUGUUUUUUCUUUUGCCCCUGCAUUUUGUUCCUUAUAGAUCGUGUUCAAGGAGGACUUUGGUACUGAGGGGCGUGGUGGAUAUUUUGAUGAAAAUGGUGAUUUAGGAAGGACUGUUCAAACUACUGACUUUUCCAAACUACUGUUAUUCAGGUGCUCAAAGUGACGAGUUCAAGGUGGGCUACGUUAUUCUUGUGGAGGCAGGAGCAUAGUGAACGAGAUUUGGCUAGGAUUACUCCAUACGAGAUUAAUAUAGGUGUAAUCUUUUUAGAGGGGAUGGAGGUUGUUGAUUGUACAUUACUUUAUGAGGUUGUAAUAUUGACAAUGUUAAAGAUGUGAAAUGUUUAAAAAGAGAUAUUGGUGGAAAUUUGGUUUAUA